rnacentral:rRNA from 1 species
AACGAACGCUGGCGGCAUGCCUAACACAUGCAAGUCGAACGAGAUCUUCGGGUCUAGUGGCGCACGGGUGCGUAACGCGUGGGAAUCUGCCCUUUGGUUCGGAAUAACAGUUGGAAACGACUGCUAAUACCGGAUGAUGACGAAAGUCCAAAGAUUUAUCGCCAGAGGAUGAGCCCGCGUAGGAUUAGCUAGUUGGUGUGGUAAAGGCGCACCAAGGCGACGAUCCUUAGCUGGUCUGAGAGGAUGAUCAGCCACACUGGGACUGAGACACGGCCCAGACUCCUACGGGAGGCAGCAGUGGGGAAUAUUGGACAAUGGGCGAAAGCCUGAUCCAGCAAUGCCGCGUGAGUGAUGAAGGCCUUAGGGUUGUAAGGCUCUUUUACCCGGGAUGAUAAUGACAGUACCGGGAGAAUAAGCUCCGGCUAACUCCGUGCCAGCAGCCGCGGUAACAC